UUCAAAACUUUUUCGCUCAAAACUUUUCAGUUCCCUCCACUGCCUUCCAUCUUCUCAAAUUAGGGUUAAGAUCAGUCUUCUCUCAUCCUCCAUAGGUGACACCAGUUGAUACCAAAAUCUUGAACUCGAAGCGCGGGAUUCUAGGAGAGGGUGUGAAUAAUUCACGCAAACAUUGGUCGGGUUUUUCAUCCUGGAUUAUUAAACUGAUUUCACGAAACUCCAUUGCAGUUGUUUCAUCACAAGUUCAAGGUGAUUUCCCUCUUUUAUAUUCCAAUUAUUUUCGAAUUUUGGUUGUAUUUUCCUAUUUCUUUUCGAAUUUUGGUUAAAUAUCCAUAUUUUUGUUCAAAUUUUGGUUGAGAUUUCAUCCUCUGGUUCAUUUUGAAUUGCUUUUACAGUUUGGGUUCAGUACCAUGAUUUGUUGUGGUUAGUUUUGUUGUUUCCUUAACUGUUGACACCUCUCAUGAUGAUAUACCCAAUGGGAUCGGAGCAUAGGACUUAAUUCUGUUCAACGGAAUUAUCUGCGGGUUUCAAUUAGGGAUUCGAUUCUUGUCAGAAGGUUGGGUGGUUUAUCUUCUAGUUUGUGAUCUUGAAACUUUUGCUUGACUCCUUUUCAUUUUCCCUUGUUUGUAGAUUUGUACCUCCUCGAGAUUUUAUACUUGCAGUGCUUACUGUUGAAUUGGGCUAUUUAUCAAGAGCAAAAGCAAGAGAAGAACAGGUUCUGAGUACCUAGGCAAUGACUUUCUUUUCACAGUCAACUAGGUUGUUGUUGAGGGACAGGAAAAGUAAGAUAGUGAAAGGGGGAUAAUGUCAGCGGACACAUACAUUAGUUUUGAGGCAGCUGGUGGAAGUGGGAUAAAGAUCUGCUAAUAUUCUGAGAUUGUAGAAGCAUUGAUGGAGAAAUGAUUGUAUCUUAAUGUGAUUUUCAAAUAAUCAAUCAGCGUGAAUCAGCUAGCAGCAACCUAUUUAAACAAAAAGAAUUCCAUUUGAAGGAACUUGGUAUAGGUGGUCUGGGUACAUAGUUUGCAGAUAUAUUUCGAAGAGCUUUUGCCUCCAGGGUUUUCCCCUCCACAUGUUACUAGCAAAUUGGGAAUCAAACAUGUUAAAGGAAUGCUUCUUUUUGGGCCUCCUGGUACUGGCAAGACUCUGAUGGCACGUCAAAUAGGAAAGAUGUUGAAUGGAAAGGAUCCAAAGGAUCUCCCAACCAGCUUGUCCUUCUUAUUCUCGAAUGGAUCUGAAUCAGAUCAAACAUGUAGCUCGAGCUUCUGGAUCAGCCGCCAGCUAGAAGCUAGCUGUUGGAUCUUCCACAAGCUAGUUGUUGCUGCUGCUAUCAGCUAGCUAGGUGUUGCUGCUGUCAGCUAGCUACUACUGCUGCUUUCAGCUAGGUGAUGCUCUGCUGCCUGCCAGCCAGAGAUGCUCUGAAGCCUGCUGCCACUAAAGCUCCAGCCAACAUCUGCGCUGAACUGGUUAUGAGAGAAGCAGCAAGGCCUGUUGUUGUUGCUGAUAACCCCAACCUACUAAUCUCAAGAAGGUUCCUGCUGGAGUUAAUAGUAUAAACAACUACUACUGUGCUGACGGUCAUAACACUGGAAAUUUCAUCACGAUAACUCUUUAUUUGGCAACGAUGAAGUCUUACUUAUUUGGGGAAGCACAUGAAGUUAUCGACUUAUUAGUUAUUUCGUUGUUACAUUGUAGUAGUUGAUUAGUUGUUUAUCUUGCCAUUUGCAAAUUAUUAAACAACAUUUUUGUUAAGUUUUUAAGACUAUUAGACAAUUAUAUAUCACCUAUGUAAUGACUUAUGAUUUACUCUAUAUGAGUUAUUUAUUUAUGAUAUUA